GGAGGAUUAGCUCAGCUGGGAGAGCACCUGCCUUACAAGCAGGGGGUCACAGGUUCGAUCCCUGUAUCCUCCACCA
rnacentral:tRNA from 3 species